AUUGAACGCUGGCGGCAUGCCUUACACAUGCAAGUCGAACGGUAACAGGGAGCUUGCUCCGCUGACGAGUGGCGAACGGGUGAGUAAUGUAUCGGAACGUACCUUUCAGUGGGGGAUAACGUAGCGAAAGUUACGCUAAUACCGCAUAUUCUGUGAGCAGGAAAGCAGGGGACCUUCGGGCCUUGCGCUGAUUGAGCGGCUGAUAUCAGAUUAGCUAGUUGGUGAGGUAAAGGCUCACCAAGGCGACGAUCUGUAGCGGGUCUGAGAGGAUGAUCCGCCACACUGGAACUGAGACACGGUCCAGACUCCUACGGGAGGCAGCAGUGGGGAAUUUUGGACAAUGGGGGCAACCCUGAUCCAGCCAUGCCGCGUGAGUGAAGAAGGCCUUCGGGUUGUAAAGCACUUUCAGUCAGGAGGAAGGGGUGAUGGCUAAUAUCCAUCAUCAUUGACGUUACUGACAGGAGAAGCACCGGCUAACUCCGUGCCAGCCGCCGCAGUAA
rnacentral:rRNA from 1 species